ensembl:lncRNA
AUGAGGUAGAGUGGUGAAAUAAAGUGGUCAUGAGGUCGAGUGGUGAAGUCAUGAGGUAGAGUGGUGAAAUAAAGAGGUCAUGAGGUCGAGUGGUGAAGUCAUGAGGUCAAGUGGUGAAGUCAUGAGGUCAUGACUUGUUAAGAAACACACUGAUACUGAUAUUUAUUUAAUCGACACCUUUCCACGUAAACCGUUUCCUACAUUACCCAGAGUGCACUAGAAUCUAUCCCGUUUCUGUUCCUCCAUCUCCGCCUAACGACAGCGAUGCUCUAAUUCUUCCGAAGCUUCAUUUCUCCCACUAACACCUCCAUCAACA